rnacentral:tRNA from 1 species
GGGCACGGGAGAACUGGCGGUUUUCUGCGCCGCUCUGGUCGGGGCCGGGCUGGGCUUUCUGUGGUUCAACGCCCCGCCUGCCUCC